CAGCACCUCAAGUGGUCAGGAUGAUUAUUGGCCUAAAGCAUCCGUAGCCGGCUCUGUAAGUUUUCGGUUAAAUCUGUAUGCUCAACAUACAGGCUGCCGGGAAUACUGCAGAGCUAGGGAGUGGGAGAGGUAGACGGUACUCGGUAGGAAGGGGUAAAAUCCUUUGAUCUAUUGAUGACCACCUGUGGCGAAGGCGGUCUACCAGAACACGUCCGACGGUGAGGGAUGAAAGCUGGGGGAGCAAACCGGAUUAGAUACCCGAGUAGUCC
rnacentral:rRNA from 1 species